GCGGAAGUAGCUCAGUUGGUAGAGCAUUAGCCUUCCAAGCUAAGGGUCGCGGGUUCGAACCUCGUCUUCCGCUC
rnacentral:tRNA from 1 species